GGGUUUCCUUUCCGUAUGUUUACCUCCGAUCACAAACAAAGACGGAAAUAGAGCACCCUAUCUAUACUUGAGGAUAUUAAGUUUCUGUAACUAUGCUUUCUUUGUGUUCAGAAUUCGAUUAAAAAGAGUGUCCCCAGCAGAUAUUACGGCAUUUACCGUCGAUGUUAAAAAUAAAGUGUCAGCUCGAUGUCAGGGUAAAACAGUAAAAC
rnacentral:misc_RNA from 1 species